rnacentral:rRNA from 1 species
UGGGGAAUUUUGGACAAUGGGCGAAAGCCUGAUCCAGCAAUGCCGCGUGUGUGAAGAAGGCCUUCGGGUUGUAAAGCACUUUUGUCCGGAAAGAAAUCCUUGGCUCUAAUACAGUCGGGGGAUGACGGUACCGGAAGAAUAAGCACCGGCUAACUACGUGCCAGCAGCCGCGGUAAUACGUAGGGUGCAAGCGUUAAUCGGAAUUACUGGGCGUAAAGCGUGCGCAGGCGGUUUGCUAAGACCGAUGUGAAAUCCCCGGGCUCAACCUGGGAACUGCAUUGGUGACUGGGCAGGCUAGAGUAUGGCAGGAGGGGGGUAGAAUUCCACGUGUAGCAGUGAAAUGCGUAGAGAUGUGGAGGAAUACCGAUGGCGAAGGCAGCCCCCUGGGCCAAUACUGACGCUCAUGCACGAAAAGCGUGGGGGAGCAAAACAGGAUUAGAUACCCCUGGGUAGUCCACGCCGUAAAACGAUGAGUACUAGGUGUAGG